rnacentral:rRNA from 1 species
UGCCAGCAGCCGCGGUAAUACGAAGGGUGCUAGCGUUGUUCGGAAUUACUGGGCGUAAAGAGCUCGUAGGCGGUUCGGUAAGUCGGGUGUGAAAACUCUGGGCUCAACCCAGAGACGCCACUCGAUACUGCUGUGACUUGAGUACGGUAGGGGAGCGGGGAAUUCCUGGUGUAGCGGUGAAAUGCGCAGAUAUCAGGAGGAACACCAGUGGCGAAGGCGCCGCUCUGGGCCGUAACUGACGCUGAGGAGCGAAAGCAUGGGUAGCAAACAGGAUUAGAUA